rnacentral:rRNA from 1 species
UACAGAGGUCCCAAGCGUUGUUCGGAUUCACUGGGCGUAAAGGGUGCGUAGGUGGCCAGGUAAGUUCGGUGUGAAAGCUCGGAGCUUAACUCCGAAAUGUCAUUGAAUACUAUCUGGCUAGAGGGUCGGAGGGGAGACUGGAAUUCUCGGUGUAGCAGUGAAAUGCGUAGAGAUCAUGAGGAAGACCAGUGGCGAAGGCGGGUCUCUGGACAGUUCCUGACACUGAGGCACGAAGGCCAGGGGAGCAAACGGG